rnacentral:lncRNA from 1 species
AAAGAAGGAAGGUACAAUUGCCAACCCUCCCCAGAUACCAAGAUAACGGCAAGGGAUUUUUUGUGAUAACUAUUUCAAAAGAGUGUUUUGCUUUCGACUGGAACUGCAUGGGUUCGCUACUGGCAUGCAGGUCCUUAUAAAUACAGAGGCAAUACAUCAUUAAGAGGACCUCCUCCAAUUCAACACACAACUGCCCUGCGUAAACUCUCAACAACUUUGAGAUUUUUUAUUUUCUCGUUUCGCUGACACAUCUUCCGUUGGCAUCAAGAGCACUAUGAAAGCAACCGGUGAUAUCUUCAGUCGACAUAGAUAGCUCUGUCGUCGUAGAAUCAGUCGAUCUCGCAGCAUCUUCUGUUGGCAUCAACAGCACUGCGGCGAGGACGGUUGGUUAUCUAUCCAAGUCUUGGUUGAGAAGGAUUUCCGGAUCCUUAUUGGUCGAGGUCAUCUCAUUAGUCUUCUCGGCGAAGUGAGGUGUUACAAGUUAUUACAUUCGGCACAUUGAAAGCCGAAUUUGAUAUUGAACUUCGCAGAACUAGCAGCCUUGUCUUCAGGCUCUAGAACCCGAAGGCCGAGAGUGUUCAUUCCUCGGCCGCAGUCGCGAGAUUCAGAAGUCAGUAGCGCACCCAACGCAACAUCAACAAAUUUUACUCAUCGGCCGAACUUGGCCGACGAGUUGGCACGCCCCGCACACAACCGAAGGACGUAGUUAGCUUACUAAUUACUCGGCCUGCGCGCCAUGUAGGCUUGGUAGUUUUUAAGGUCAACAGAACCCCUCUGUUUUGUGAAAAUGGGAGCCUCUUCAUAGGGUUUGGCCGGUCCACUUUUUAGAGAAAGUGGCCGGCCAUUAAAUGGGUUUUGUGGUUGAAUUUUAGGUUUAAUUAGCCAAUUUAUUAUGAUUAUUUGGCUAAUUAAACAUAAAGGGAAUAAAUGGAUGGUUACAUAAUCAAUUAGCUAGCCUAAUUGGGGUAGUAAAGUGGGAAAAGAUAGGAAAGGUAGAAAGCUAAGGGGAUGGUCGGUUUUGACUAGUUUUUGGGGUUAAUUUUGGGAGUUAUGUGGCUAAUUGGCUAAUUAAUUUAGCAAAAUAGAAUUAUUGCUAAAUUAAUUAGCUAAUUAGUGUGAUGAAAUAGGUAAAUAUGAGGAGACAAACUGGUUCCUCUUUUAGCAAUAGAUGGCCGGCCUUUAGCACAUAUUUGGAGAUAUUUUGUUGUCAAUUGAGUGACUUAAUUGGUAUUUGAAUUGUUAUCUUUUUUGGAGCAUUUUUUAUUUGGUUGAGGAUGAUUGCCUGUUACUUGCGUGUAAGAAUCCUGGUAUGCCCCAAGGAUAGUUUUGUCCUCUUUUAUCAAAGAUCCACGUGUCGCCUUGUGAUUAUUUUUGACUCCA